GACGAGAAGCUUGCUUCUCUGAUGUUAGCGGCGGACGGGUGAGUAACACGUGGAUAACCUACCUAUAAGACUGGGAUAACUUCGGGAAACCGGAGCUAAUACCGGAUAAUAUUUUGAACCGCAUGGUUCAAAAGUGAAAGACGGUCUUGCUGUCACUUAUAGAUGGAUCCGCGCCGCAUUAGCUAGUUGGUAAGGUAACGGCUUACCAAGGCAACGAUGCAUAGCCGACCUGAGAGGGUGAUCGGCCACACUGGAACUGAGACACGGUCCAGACUCCUACGGGAGGCAGCAGUAGGGAAUCUUCCGCAAUGGGCGAAAGCCUGACGGAGCAACGCCGCGUGAGUGAUGAAGGUCUUCGGAUCGUAAAACUCUGUUAUUAGGGAAGAACAUAUGUGUAAGUAACUGUGCACAUCUUGACGGUACCUAAUCAGAAAGCCACGGCUAACUACGUGCCAGCAGCCGCGGUAAUACGUAGGUGGCAAGCGUUAUCCGGAAUUAUUGGGCGUAAAGCGCGCGUAGGCGGUUUUUUAAGUCUGAUGUGAAAGCCCACGGCUCAACCGUGGAGGGUCAUUGGAAACUGGAAAACUUGAGUGCAGAAGAGGAAAGUGGAAUUCCAUGUGUAGCGGUGAAAUGCGCAGAGAUAUGGAGGAACACCAGUGGCGAAGGCGACUUUCUGGUCUGUAACUGACGCUGAUGUGCGAAAGCGUGGGGAUCAAACAGGAUUAGAUACCUGGUAGUCCACGCCGUAAACGAUGAGUGCUAAGUGUUAGGGGGUUUCCGCCCCUUAGUGCUGCAGCUAACGCAUUAAGCACUCCGCCUGGGGAGUACGACCGCAAGGUUG
rnacentral:rRNA from 1 species